rnacentral:rRNA from 1 species
CCCAGACAGCCAGGAUGUUGGCUUAGAAGCAGCCAUCAUUUAAAGAAAGCGUAAUAGCUCACUGGUCGAGUCGGCCUGCGCGGAAGAUGUAACGGGGCUAAACCAUGCACCGAAGCUGCGGCAGCGAACGUAUCACUUAAAGCGAUUCAGCGGGUUACGAUUGACGGAGCGAAGCGACGUCAAAGCGUAUACAAAGUCGAGUCGGUUUAAGGAUACGUUCGUUGGGUAGGGGAGCGUUCUGUAAGCCUGCGAAGGUGGCCUGUGAGGGUUGCUGGAGGUAUCAGAAGUGCGAAUGCUGACAUAAGUAACGAUAAAGCGGGUGAAAAGCCCGCUCGCCGGAAGACCAAGGGUUCCUGUCCAACGUUAAUCGGGGCAGGGUGAGUCGACCCCUAAGGCGAGGCCGAAAGGCGUAGUCGAUGGGAAAC